AUUGAACGCUGGCGGCAGGCCUAACACAUGCAAGUCGGACGGUAGCACAGAGGAGCUUGCUCCUCGGGUGACGAGUGGCGGACGGGUGAGUAAUGUCUGGGGAUCUGCCCGAUAGAGGGGGAUAACCACUGGAAACGGUGGCUAAUACCGCAUAACGUCGCAAGACCAAAGAGGGGGACCUUCGGGCCUCUCACUAUCGGAUGAACCCAGAUGGGAUUAGCUAGUAGGCGGGGUAACGGCCCACCUAGGCGACGAUCCCUAGCUGGUCUGCGAGGAUGACCAGCCACACUGGAACUGAGACACGGUCCAGACUCCUACGGGAGGCAGCAGUGGGGAAUAUUGCACAAUGGGCGCAAGCCUGAUGCAGCCAUGCCGCGUGUAUGAAGAAGGCCGUCGGGUUGUAAAGUACUUUCAGCGGGGAGGAAGGCGAUGUGGUUAAUAACCGCAUUGAUUGACGUUACCCGCAGAAGAAGCACCGGCUAACUCCGUGCCAGCAGCCGCCGCAG
rnacentral:rRNA from 1 species